rnacentral:rRNA from 1 species
UACAGGGGGUGCAAACGUUGCUCGGAAUUAUUGGGCGUAAAGCGCGCGUAGGCGGCUACUUAAGUCGGAUGUGAAAGCCCGAGGCUCAACCUCGGAACUGCCUUCGAUACUGCGGGUCUCGAGUCCGGGAGAGGUGAGUGGAAUUCCUAGUGUAGAGGUGAAAUUCGUAGAUAUUAGGAAGAACACCAGUGGCGAAGGCGGCUCACUGGCCCGGUACUGACGCUGAGGCGCGAAAGCGUGGGGAGCAAACAGG